rnacentral:SRP_RNA from 1 species
AGCCGGGUCCUGCACAACAAAGAAUCGUGAACUCCGUCAGGUCCGGGAGGAAGCAGCGGCAGCGAGCCCCUUUGUGUGUUGCAGGGUUGCCCGGCUUUU